rnacentral:rRNA from 1 species
UUUCUCCGCCGGCGACCGGCGCACGGGUGAGUAACACGUAUGCAACCUGCCCCUGUCAGGGGGACAACCCGCCGAAAGGCGGGCUAAACCCGCGUACAUGCCACCGGGCAUCCCCGGAAGGCAGGAAAGGCUUCGGCCGGACAGGGAUGGGCAUGCGGCGCAUUAGGCAGUAGGCGGGGUAACGGCCCACCUAACCGACGAUGCGUAGGGGUUCUGAGAGGAAGGUCCCCCACACUGGUACUGAGACACGGACCAGACUCCUACGGGAGGCAGCAG